GUCACCUACCUUCCCACCGCCCCUCACAUUUCUCCCCGUCGUUCCCCAUUCUUCCUUGGUCGCCAGCUCCCUCUCUCCACCCCACCCCUCCCCUUCGUCCCCACCGCCAGCAAGAAGUUCGCAUCCCCUUUUCAUCGAAUCCGGUCGCCCAAGUGGGCGAGGAGGUCCCCCAGCUCGGCAUGCUCGCGAGCAUCCCAGCGUUAGGCUCCGUCCGAUGCGCGAGACUUCCACGCCCCUGCUCUUCCAAGCCAUUCUUCGAAUCCGUUUGCCGAAGUGCCCAAGGAGGCGCUCGAGCUCGGCGUAUUCACGGGCGACCCAGCGCGAGGCGGGCGCGGAGGCCCGCAACAAGCUAACAAGGAGCGGGCGUGGGUGCACAAGAAUAUCUGGGCACAGUUCGAUGCCUCCACUGGUGUGCCUCUGUGUGAUGUGCUAUUCAAAAUCCCUCUACAUAUUUCCCCCUUCUUAAAUUGUGUUAUUCAAGAUACAAUGGCACUCGAUAAUACUUGCUAAGAAGGUCUGCAAUAUGAACUAGACUGUUGCUUGCCAGAUGACUGGAAGAUGGGUACUUCAUCCUCUCUUUUUUUGUCAAGCAAGAUAAAUAAGGUUCAUGCAUUGUAAUGAAAACUGCAGAUUUAGCUAAACUCAACUGAUGGUGUAAUAUAUCUUCCUAUGAGCAGCAAUAAUGAUAUAUUCUUAGGAGUAAUAAGGCGUCGCUGCAUAAAUAUACUUGACUUUCAAAUGAGUGUGUCAAGAGGUUUAAUUAGCGUCGAUCCCUACUCUAAUUAUAGCUGGAUAUCUCACUCCUGUACUAUUUGAAACUUAUCAAUUAGAUCUUCAGAAUAACAGAAAUUUGCUAGAUAAGCUAACGUUAGAAGGGGAAGUAAACAUUAAACAUUUCAGAUAGUGAAGGUGAAUAUCUGAUAUGUCAUCAUUGUGUGUUUCCUGCUGUAGAUAAAUUUGCUUGCAGGGCUCUUGAUGAUAUAUCCACUUUCAUCAAAUGCGUAAGGGUAUGGUCACUUGGAGAAGACAUAGCUAUGACUACAAAGAUCUGUUUUUCCAGGUAUGCAUUGUACAAGAUGGAUUUCCUCUUAACCGAUUGGAAGCAUACCGCAACAUGGAUGCACACAAGGGCUAGCCUAAGCAUGCAGGUAGAUGGAUUAUAGACGUCUUGUUAAUGCUGGUGCAAGGAUGCAAUAUCCAUGAACGAGCGCAACGUCGGUGGAUCUGUAUGUUAGAGUUCAGAAUUUUGAAAGAAAGGGGAUAUGGGAAACAAGAAGAGGGGAGCUCUACCUUGGCUAGGAUCCAUGACGGCGAGGUAGCACCGCCGACUGUUGGGACCAGGUGUUGGGCGUCUGUUGGGCGUUGCCGCCGCCGGUGUCGUGGGCAGGCGGCUUGGGGUGCUCGACAGCAUAGGUGGCCUCGAUGGCCUGGAACUCAACCUCGCUCGUCCGCGACAUCCCAGUAGAAUUCGUCGGCGUCAUGGGCGGCGCAGCCACCGAAGCUAGGGCUGGGCGACGUAUGGAGGUGCGGCGGCGUUGAGCGAGAAAAAAAAUCAUGAUGCCGAUCGAUCUGAAGGGCAGAGCGUGUGCGGGGCAGACGUGGGUCAAGGGCUGAAUGUGUGCGGGGCAGACGUGGGUGGCAGAACAUUGAAUCUGAGCCAACCAAUCGGAUGGCAGACCGCUGAAUUAAUCUGUGAUGUUAGAUUUUAUUAGAUGUAAUUGAUCGUGGGGUGCAGGUUAUCCUAUGUACAUUUUAUGAUGUGGUUGUAGGGGAAUUCAUGUUUGCUCUUUUAAUAGUAGUGUAGAUGUAGAAGUGUUUUUUUUUGAAACAGGGG